rnacentral:lncRNA from 1 species
AUGAGUAUUAACUGGUGUGUAUUUGCAUAUUCCAUGUCCCUAUGUAUAUAUUUUAGGAACACGCAGAGUCUCAGAGAACAAGAUUUUACAAAUGUAUGCACACCUGGAAAUACAUCCAUUCAACCUUGUGGAAUAGUGGAAAGAGCUCUGGACAACAUGGAAGAACAAACUGUAUUCACUUUCUGGAUCUUCCCCUUCCUAGAUUUAAUGUGGCCUCGAUUCCCUUGAUUACAGAUGUGACUCCCUUCUACUGGCCAUCAAUCCUUCAUUCCAAAUAAGAAGUGGUGAAAUGUGAAGGAGAAAGGCUCAGGUGAGCUGAAUCUAUCCUGUUUUAUCAAGAAAAUAACAGCUGUCCCAGUAGUGUUUCCUGGUGACUUCCUUUGACUCAUUAGGACAGUGUGGUAUGACUGCCCUUUUUAUAAGGUAGCCUGGGGAAUUGAUGUGAAUUUUAGCUGCAGACAAUGACACCAUGCACAAAAGUGGGGUUCUAUGAAAAGCACGGCUAUAUUUGUGCCAGGCAUCAGUAUCUGACACCAGAACAAUAUUUGGGAAAAUGAGAGCUGUAGCUCAGUAAAAAAUUAAGAGAGUGAUCUAUGAAGCUUAGAAAGAGAUGGUUCUCAUUGAAAAAUACACUUGGCAACUAGCUAAAAAAAGGAUCAUAAGGGAGUCAUACUCAAACACUUAAGUACAUUCUCUGUUAACCUCCCUGUUGGUCUAAUUACUUGGGUGCCAAAGAGUAGUAUCCUACUAAUAACUAAAAGAUACUUUUUUUUUUUGCUUUUUUUUUUUUUUUUUUUUUUUUUUGCUUUUUAGAGCCACACUUGCAGCAUAUGGAAGUUGCCAGGCUAGGGGUUGGAUCAGAGUUACAGCCACCGGCCUACCCCACAGCCACAGCAACGUGGGAUCCGAGCUGUGUCUGCAACCUAUACCACGUCUCAUGGCAACAUCACAACCCCAAUCCACUGAGUGAGGCCAGGGAUUGAACCCACAUCCUUAUGGAUACUAGUCGGAUUCAUUUCCACUGCACAACAGGAACUCCCAAAAAUACGAUUUAUACUGCAAUAAAAGGGCUACUUAGGACA